rnacentral:misc_RNA from 1 species
GAUGAAAGAACGCAGCGAAACGCGAUAAGUAAUGUGAAUUGCAGAAUUCAGUGAAUCAUCGAAUCUUUGAACGCACAUUGCGCCCGCCAGUAUUCUGGCGGGCAUGCCUGUCUGAGCGUCAUUUCAACCCUCAUGCCCCUAGGGCGUGGUGUUGGGGAUCGGCCAAAGCCCGCGAGGGACGGCCGGCCCCUAAAUCUAGUGGCGGACCCGUCGUGGCCUCCUCUGCGAAGUAGUGAUAUUCCGCAUCGGAGAGCGAUGAGCCCCUGCCGUUAAACCCCCAACUUUCCAAGGUUGACCUCAGAUCAGGUAGGAAUACCCGCUGAACUUAAGCAUAUCAAUAAGCGGAGGA